rnacentral:rRNA from 1 species
AUUGAACGCUGGCGGCAGGCCUAACACAUGCAAGUCGAGCGGUAGCACAGAGAGCUUGCUCUCGGGUGACGAGCGGCGGACGGGUGAGUAAUGUCUGGGAAACUGCCUGAUGGAGGGGGAUAACUACUGGAAACGGUAGCUAAUACCGCAUAACGUCGCAAGACCAAAGAGGGGGACCUUCGGGCCUCUUGCCAUCAGAUGUGCCCAGAUGGGAUUAGCUAGUAGGUGGGGUAACGGCUCACCUAGGCGACGAUCCCUAGCUGGUCGGAGAGGAUGACCAGCCACACUGGAACUGAGACACGGUCCAGACUCCUACGGGAGGAAGCAGUGGGGAAUAGUGCACAAUGGGCGCAAGCCUGAUGCAGCCAUGCCGCGUGUAUGAAGAAGGCCUUCGGGUUGUAAAGUACUUUCAGCGGGGAGGAAGGCGAUAAGGUUAAUAACCUUGUCGAUUGACGUUACCCGCAGAAGAAGCACCGGCUAACUCCGUGCCAGCCGCCGCAGUAA